UUUUCUUUAGUUCUGUUAGAUUUUGGGAUUUGUAAGCACUUGGAUGAGGAUUUCAGAUUGAAGUAUUGCCAGCUUUGGGAGGCUUUGGUAGUUAUGGACUCAACCAAAAUACAGCAGAUAGGAGAAUACUUUGGCGUUGGAAAGUACUCAAGAUACUUUCCUGUCAUAUUUACAGGAAGAACUAUUGACAGGUACAGUGGGUUGAUAAGUUUGUGUAAAGCAUAAAUUGUAGAGAUGGGAUACAAUUUUUUAUAGGUUUACAAGAUGCCUCCUCACGUGCAAGCCGAAUUUCUUCCAAGAAUGAGACUGCAUGAUUUGAUACCAUGUGAAAGAAGUUCAGCCUCUAACAUAAACUUGUAAGACUAUGAGUAGAGUGAGCCAAUUCCUUUAUUAACCUUUUUGGAUUUCCUGGUACAAUUGAUAUGAACCAUUUAUUUAACUCAACAUCCUCUUGCACGUAUAACCACAUUUUAGAGUUCACACAAAACUUUAACGUUGACUUACAAGUGUGAAAACAGAUUUGCCAAAGGUUAGCUUGAUGUCAUGUUGAAUUAUGUGCAAGUCGAAUUUAUAGUUCAAGUUGUUAGACAAGACACUUUUAUUUAUUUAAUAUUAGGUUUACAAUGGAUACACUCAUAAAGAAAUUUAUUGCUAAUUUUUCACAUCCCAUAGCUUUAUUGAUCAUUAUUUAUGAAUGCUUGCUUAGUUGGGGAGGUUGGGUUACGGUGUUACUCAACUCUUAUGCCCCAACCUAUGUUCUCCGGUUGAACAUUGAGUGGAUUAUGUCAUGGCCACAAUUGUUCUACAUACCAGUUCCAACCCGCUUAUCUACAAACCCUAGACCUUUAAGGUCUCGUUCUCUCAGACGCCUGAGAAUGUCAGUUACUAGGGCCUGACCUUGCUUUUCCUUAGAGUACUUGCGCAACAUACAUGAUUGGGAAGAGAAGGGAGAGAUAGCAAGAAGGAAGUUAAAAGAGGUGGGUGAGGGCUAUUUUGUUAGGAGGGAAA